UACAGAGGUCUCAAGCGUUGUUCGGAUUCAUUGGGCGUAAAGGGUGCGUAGGCGGCGCGGUAAGUCGGGUGUGAAAUCUCGGAGCUUAACUCCGAAACUGCAUUCGAUACUGCCGUGCUUGAGGACUGGAGAGGAGACUGGAAUUUACGGUGUAGCGGUGAAAUGCGUAGAUAUCGUAAGGAAGACCAGUGGCGAAGGCGGGUCUCUGGGCAGUUCCUGACACUGAGGCACGAAAGCCAGGGGAGCAAACGGG
rnacentral:rRNA from 1 species